rnacentral:misc_RNA from 1 species
AUUCCGGCUUAUUCAGAAGAAGAUUUGCGACGGAUGCCUGCACUUCAGGGUCUUGAAUAUCCAUCAAAGCCUGACUUGGAUUCCCAAGAGUUCUAGGUAUCAGUCAUGUCAUGGAACUGGAAAAUUUUCUUUUCAUAACAAUAGAUAUGGAGCCCAGCCAAAAUGUGCCACUAUGUCCAAAACAUUGAUAAACAAAUUGCAGCUAGUAUGGGCUCCUAACCAUUCAUUCCCACGUCGUAUUUGUGAAAUAACUGGAGAGAGAGAGAGAGUUUUGAGAAUCAGAUGUGGAAGAUCAAAAUCUAGGUUGCAGAAUACUGGGGAAGGCACGAAGGGCUGAUAUUU